AUCCAGGUGAUAAGUCCCAAAUGGGACGAAAUGUGCAUCCUGGAU
rnacentral:hammerhead_ribozyme from 1 species